GACGAACGCUGGCGGCGUGCUUAACACAUGCAAGUCGAACGGUGAACCGGGCUUCGGCCCGGGGAUCAGUGGCGAACGCGUGCGCAACACGUGGGCAACCUGCCCCAGACACUGGGCUAACCCCGUGAAACCGGGGCUAAUACCCGCUACUCCGAUCGGAGCGCAUGACCCGACCGGGCAAGCUCCGACGGUCUGGGAUGGGCCCGCGGCCUAGCAGAUUGUUGGUGGGGUAACGGCCAACCAAGGCGACCACGGGUAGCUGGUCUGAGAGGACGACCAGCCACACUGGAACUGAGAUACGGUCCAGACUCCUACGGGAGGCAGCAGUGGGGAAUCUUGCACAAUGGGCGAAAGCCUGAUGCAGCGACGCCGCGUGGGGGACGAAGGCCCUCGGGUUGUAAACCCCUUUCGGCAGGGAAGAAGCGCAAGUGACGGUACCUGCAGAAGAAGUCCCGGCUAACUACGUGCCAGCAGCCGCCGUAA
rnacentral:rRNA from 1 species